UGGCUCAGUUUUUAGAGCAUGGUGUUUGCAACGCCAGGGUUGUGGGUUCGAUUCCCAU
rnacentral:tRNA from 1 species